rnacentral:misc_RNA from 1 species
GAUGAAGAACGCAGCGAAAUGCGAUACUUGGUGUGAAUUGCAGAAUCCCGUGAACCAUCGAGUCUUGAACGCAAGUUGCGCCCGAAGCCAUUAGGCCGAGGGCACGCCUGCCUGGGCGUCACACGUCGUUGCCCCCCCAUCUACUCCUUCGGGAUUGCGGGGGGCGGAUGAUGGCCUCUCGUGCGCCUCGUCGCGCGGUUGGCCUAAAUGCCAAGUCCUCGGCGACGCACGCCACGACAAUCGGUGGUUGCGAAACCUCGGUUGCCUGUCGUGUGCGGUCGUCGCGCAUCGAGGGCUCGAAAAAAUUGCCGGGCUUCGGCUCGACUUUCAACGCGACCCCAGGUCAGGCGGGGUUACCCGCUGAAUUUAAGCAUAUCAAUAAGCGGAGGA